rnacentral:rRNA from 1 species
AGAGUUUGAUCCUGGCUCAGAUUGAACGCUGGCGGCAGGCCUAACACAUGCAAGUCGAACGGUAACAGGAAGUGCUUGCACUUCGCUGACGAGUGGCGGACGGGUGAGUAAUGCUUGGGAACUUGCCUUUGCGAGGGGGAUAACAGUUGGAAACGACUGCUAAUACCGCAUAAUGUCUACGGACCAAACGGGGCUUCGGCUCCGGCGCAAAGAGAGGCCCAAGUGAGAUUAGCUAGUUGGUAAGGUAAAGGCUUACCAAGGCAACGAUCUCUAGCUGUUCUGAGAGGAAGAUCAGCCACACUGGAACUGAGACACGGUCCAGACUCCUACGGGAGGCAGCAGUGGGGAAUAUUGCACAAUGGGGGAAACCCUGAUGCAGCCAUGCCGCGUGUGUGAAGAAGGCCUUCGGGUUGUAAAGCACUUUCAGUUGUGAGGAAAAGUUAGUAGUUAAUACCUGCUAGCCGUGACGUUAACAACAGAAGAAGCACCGGCUAACUCCGUGCCAGCAGCCGCGGUAAUACGGAGGGUGCGAGCGUUAAUCGGAAUUACUGGGCGUAAAGCGCACGCAGGCGGUUUGUUAAGCUAGAUGUGAAAGCCCCGGGCUCAACCUGGGAUGGUCAUUUAGAACUGGCAGACUAGAGUCUUGGAGAGGGGAGUGGAAUUCCAGGUGUAGCGGUGAAAUGCGUAGAUAUCUGGAGGAACAUCAGUGGCGAAGGCGACUCCCUGGCCAAAGACUGACGCUCAUGUGCGAAAGUGUGGGUAGCGAACAGGAUUAGAUACCCUGGUAGUCCACACCGUAAACGCUGUCUACUAGCUGUUUGUGACUUUAAGUCGUGAGUAGCGAAGCUAACGCGCUAAGUAGACCGCCUGGGGAGUACGGCCGCAAGGUUAAAACUCAAAUGAAUUGACGG